AGCUCGUAGUUGGAGUUCAGGGCGAGCUCAGCUGGUCGGCCUAAUGGGUCAGAACUGGUUGACUCUCCCUUGGUUGUGGAUCCCUCCGGAGUUAAUUCUUCGGGUGUGGAGUCCACAUCGUUUACCUUGAAAAAAUUAGAGUGUUCAAAGCAGGCGUUUGCUUGAAUAUAUUAGCAUGGAAUAAUGGAAUAGGACGCUGGUUCUAUUUUGUUGGUUUUGAGAACCAGAGUAAUGAUUAAUAGGGACAGUUGGGGGCAUUCAUAUUUCAUUGUCAGAGGUGAAAUUCUUGGAUUUAUGAAAGAUGAACUUCUGCGAAAGCAUUUGCCAAGGAUGUUUUCAUUAAUCAAGAACGAAAGUU
rnacentral:rRNA from 1 species